rnacentral:misc_RNA from 1 species
GGAAGUAAAAAUCGUAACAAGGUUUCCGUAGGUGAACCUGCGGAAGGAUCAUUAUUGUAUAACCGAGGUGCGAGGGCUGUCGCUGACCCGAAAGGUCGUGCACGCCCGAGUGCCCUCACACACAUCCAUCUCACCCCUAUGUGCACCACCGCGUGGGUCCCCCUUUGGCUUGUUCGGAGGGAGGCUUACGUUUUCACACAAACUUUGUAUGCAGUGUAGAAUGUAUUUUUUGUUUUUGCGAUCACGCAAUCAAUACAACUUUCAACAACGGAUCUCUUGGCUCUC